GGUCUGGGGGAGGGGUGACAGCAGGACGAAAAGACCUCACCAAUGAUGCUGAUAUAGAGCGUGUGUGGCAGUUAAUAUAGUGCAGGUUACUAUAGUGCUCCAUAAAAUGCUCUGCAGAAUGUCCUGCUGCAGACAUACAGGAGGCAGUCCUGGUACAAGUCUCUCCUUUUGUUAAAUAUGUAAUAUUCUUACCAUUUUAGAAUUUGUCGACAGUGUUUACUGCAUGUUUCGUUUUGGGUUGAAAAACAUGGUUUGGGUUCGACACAUGUGGUCAAGUUUGGAAUGCUGUGUCCUGUAUUUUUUCCUGUGUUGUGUUCCACUUAGCUCAGCCUGUCUGCGUGUAUGUGCAAGAAGUGCAGGGGUCAAGGGAGAUGUUUUCUCAUGUGAUAAGCAGAGACACGACACACUCCUGUCAGCCUGCACUAGUACACUUUGACAGACAACUCAAUAUUGGCAUGUUUUGCUUUUAUUUUUGCCUUAAGGCUUGUAUGCACCUAUGUACCUUUAUUAUGUAUUUUUCCACUACACUCCAGCAGUAGCAACCGCACUUGCACAGUGCAGCUCAGAGGCCAGUUUCAAAAAUAUUGUGUAACCGUAACAGUCGCCUUUCGUGUUUAUCUAAGUGCACAUUGCUCUUUAAAUGCAUAGUUUUCGACUUACCAUACUUGUUUUCCUUUUUGUUUUUCUUUAAAAAGAAGCAAGAGAGUUCUUGGUCAGGUCACUGUGGUCUACGGGCUCAUUCAACCAGCCUCCCAGUGAACAUGGCUGGGCACCAGACUGGAACUGAACUCAGCCUCUUUGACAGACAGAUGCCAGUUUGAAGACAGAGAAUAUAGUACAGAGAUGAUAUACAGUGACCAGGACAGUGAUGAGAAGACAUGAGAGGCAGGGACGGAGAGGAUUUUUAUGUGUGAUCAGGGGGUCCUGGUGAAAAGUGCUGCAAGGCCAAGUCAGUUGAGGAGGAAUACAGUUAAACAGACAGACAGGUCAGCACCAACACUUGCAUAUCUAUUCACAGAAACAGAUGUAAGCUCCAUCAAGAUAGGCUUGAGCCACCUCCAUUUUGAUUUGCAUACAAAAUGAGAUGGAUAUGCCUCACUGGGAUCUGUCAGACUGAUGGCAAUGUUGGGUGAAACAAAAACAGUUCCUCCCUGGUAGAGUUAGGAGGGUUGGGUAUCGUUUGAAUAUUAUCAAUUCCAAUACCGGCUCCAGUUUUGCUUAUCAAUUCUGAAUUAAAUAUCUUUAGUCUUUUAAAUGUAAACUGGACGUUCACAGAGUAAAUAAAAAUGUAUGAUCCACACACAGAUAUGCAUUAAAGAACAUAAGAGUGAAUGUUAAACUGCACUUGAACCAAAGGUGAACUGAGCCUUGUCUUACGCGCAAAAAUUGUAGCAGCAGCGAUGCCCUGUGGCAGACAGGCAACAUUACCAAUGAAAACGCGCACACAAAAUUCUCGAACCAAAGUGGAUUCUACUACUACAGCCAAAGCCUUAAAUAUUUACCCAGAUUUGGCGUGCAACCUGACGUGCAGCUAAUGAACUUCUCGCAUGCAUUGCACUUUGACAAAGUCAAGCCACACUUCUGACCGCUGCUGUGACAUGCUACUCAUGCACGCUAGCUCUCCAGCUUGCUGUCGCUUUAACGUGUGGCAUAACAGGUCCUGUCCAGAAAAGCCGUGGCCUGGCAGAUAUAUGUAGCCGAGUUUCAGUUCCCAACCCUACUCCCGUGGCAUAUAGAAAAUUCUGCUACUUGCUAAGGUUUAUAAUGGUUCAACAUUUUUGGAAAUAUGAUUGUUUUCUUUCUCGCUGAGGGUUUUAUGAGAAGAUCAAUACCAAUCUUAUAUCUGUAGGAUAAAUAUGAAGCUACAGCUAGCAGCUGGUUAUCUUAGCAAUGUGUUGAUGCUUGGAAUAUGAACAGAUUAAACAAACAAGAUAUAACAUGUUAAUUAAGUUUUAAGCACAAGAGGUGGAUUUCAGGUGGACUUUGGAAGAGCCAGGCUAGCUGUUUCCACCAGUCUCCAGUCCUUUGUGCUAAGGUAAGAUAACUGGUUGCGAGCCAUAGCUGAAAGUGGUUUCCAUCAUCUCAUCAAACUCUUGGCAAAAAAGCUCAUAAGUGUGUUUCAAAUGAAACAAAUUGUUUAGAAUUUAGUCAGAUACACUGAUUUUUUUCUAUCAGACAAUAAACAUAUAAUCUGUUAAUUAUUCUGCAUUUAGAGGACGUUGGUAAUAACUCAGUCCCCUCCCCCUUUCUUCUUUUCAGUUUGGUGUAAAACUUUAAUCGUGGAAUAACAGCUUUUUAUUUUCUAUUUUAUCUACCUUCUUCCAGUUAACUAAACAUACCUCUAGGGAAAAAAACGUUUAUGGUUAAAGCAAUUUACCGAUAAAUAGGCAAUAUAGUGUAUAAAGAAAAAGGACUAAGGUUGUGAUGGAGGGAUAACGCCUGCAUACCCAUAUGUUUGAGAGUUUGUGUUCAUGUCGUCUUCACGCCUGGGUGGUGCUCUUAAAAGCUCAUCUAUGCGUAAUAUGAGUGUUAGCGUGUGAGAUGUGUUAUUUUCCAAGCACACAAAAGGAGAUGAGUGAUAAGACGGCGACUGUCUGCCCGACAUGUCUACCUUAUUUGAAUGUCUCUGCACGAUGUCAGCAGGAGAGUUUGGCCUUUGUCUCCCUCUGCCUCUGACUGAACAGUGUGGAAAGACACUUCAGUCUCAUGACAUGACAAAAAUAAAUGUAAAAGAAGAAUUGCAUGGAUAAAAUAUACCGACAGUGCAGGAUUAAGUGCUUCCUAUAUUUCUAUUUUGCCUUUCCUUGCUUAAUAAAACUGACAGCUAGCACUGAUCAAGGGUAAAAGUGCUUUCUCUAAGUAUAAGAAAAGUUAUUGUGGCAUCUUUUUAUCUCCACAAAAUAUGCAGAAUACACACUAUUCUGCUCUGUCCUUCUCGCACUAGACAGCUCUCCUUAUUGCAGACUUCCCUUGAGUAACCUGAUUCAUCUUAAAUUUUCUGACCAAGUACAAAAGCUGAAUCUGUAAUCUUGUGCAAGCAAAUGAGCUGAAAAGUUAGGAGUAAGUUUUUUUGUGUGCCAGAGCACACGCACCGCCUUUUCCAGAAACAAGUAAGCUGCUGACUAAGAGCAAAACUGAACAGCGACUCACUGCUGAUUUCUGUCACGCUCUAACUUCGACCUGCUGGCACAUAAAAAUUUACUGAGGAAGUUUGUCGACAUCACUGCUGAAAAAGCUGAUUAAAGAGUUAUAAAAGGGCUACAUGUUGAAAGAUAA